rnacentral:sRNA from 1 species
CAUCUAAAAUGUAAGUAAGCUAUACUUAAAGGCUUAGAACUUAAUAAUGUAUCCUGAUUCUGUACUGAAAACUUAUUUGGUAUAUUUGAUUGCUCUUAAGGGAAUGCUAAGAUAUUACAUUCUUGGCACGGUUCUUUAGUUUUAGCUUAGAGCAAUAGGAAAUACUAUACUUUGUCAUCUGCAGUAUAAUUUAUGGAUUAAAAAUAUUUCAUUCAGCCAGAAUUUAUUCCAAGUCAAAGUUUUAAAACUUUGUGAAUAGCUAUCUGAUGUACCCUUUAAAUUAACUUAGACUCCAGAUAAAUUUUCUUCUUAAAAUAACUUCACUGCAUAAGAAAUAUAUAUAAUAUCAUACAGCAUGAAACUUCGAAUUUGUUCCUGUAGACACCCAUGGUUUCUGUGAUGGUGAGAAUAAUGGACAUGGGGAAGUAGCAUCUUUCCCUGGCCCAUUGAAAGAAGAGAAUCUGUUAAAUGUUCCGAAGCCACUGCCAAAACAACUGUGGGAGACCAAGGAGAUUCAGUCCCUGUCAGGACGCCCUCGAUCCUGUGAUGUUGGAGGUGGCAA